UAAUCUUCCAACUUCAAAAAUUGUUGCAUCCUUUUAAAUAAUUACUUAACCAAUUCAACACUAUCCCCCUAAUCCCGAGCCGUUCCAGUUUAUUGAUUCAUAUUUCAAGAUCAAUUGUAUAAAAUGCUUUUUUCAAAGCAAUAAAUAC